CGGUAGACGCUACGGACUUGAAAAUCCGUUGGCUUUUACAUGUUAAUAGUAACAGCAAUUUAAGUUGUAGUAAAAAGAAAAUCCGUUGGCUUUAGUGACCGUGAGGGUUCAAGUCCCUCUACCCCCA
rnacentral:tRNA from 1 species